UCUGGCGGAUCACACUCACACAGCAGCGCUGCCCGCGCACUUGCGUUGUGCGGGGUGACUGACCUGGUGACGUCAUGACGCGGCUCUCCAUGGGCGUCCCUGGCGUCUCCAGGCUGGGAUAGCUUAUUUAAUGGCCGGCUGGCCAUUAGAUCAGCAGCGUGGACCGGUCCACUGGCGGUUCGACUGCAGGGCUCUGAUGGUCCAGGACGUCCUCGGCAGCACUUAGGGAUCCCUAUGGGUCCCAGCUAUCUCCCCAGCUUAUGCAUUACCUUGCAACCGUCACCUACACGGAUACCUCCGCUGGAUGACACGAUGCUGGUUUUACCAGCAUCAUUGGAUUUUUUAUCCAUGUACCCUGUAAAUCCCCUAUUGCUUGUAUCAGCUUGCCGUUCUUGUCCUGCCUCUUCCUGCAGUCCACCAGCAAUCCAUCCUACCAUGGCCGGGUUAAUCCUCACGGCUCAUACCGUGAAUUCCACGAUUUAUUAUCCCCCUGUUCGCCGCGGGGGGAACCCCCCUGAACCGUUCGGUUCCGUGCAUUUACAAUUGACCCAUUGGGUAAGCCUAUAUUAUUUAUUAUGUUGAUUUGUACUUUUCUUGCUGAUGUUUAUUACAUGUUUUUUUACUGUACUAUUCAUUGUAUAGAUUGGCUGUCCUGACGAAGCGGCAUCCCCACGAAACUAGUCGACCUUGACCAAUCAUGGAUUUGUACAAUUGUGUUGUUUUGCAUUUUUAUAUUUCAAUAAAUCUUUUACAUUUA